AGAAUUGGACUACAGUGCUCGGAGAGAGGCUGCUUUUCAUCAGGAUCGAGCGUUUUGGAGAUGAAGACAUGCUCAUUUUAUUACAUCCAGCUUUUUUUCAGCAAGCAGAAAGAAUGGAAACUUUUAUAAAAGCCUUUUGAUGGCAGAAGCUGGAACCUUAAGAAGUACUGACUACAGCAGGAGUGGUGCUGAAACCUGCAGAGCUCGAUAAUGCUCCAAAUGCAUCCCUAAGUGCAAAUUUGCACAUGCUCACUACUAUGCAAUUGAAAUAUAUUUUACCACUAGAAAAGCAUCUACAAAGGAGUGAGAAGGAGCCACUCUCUUUCCAAGUUCCGUGUGCCUGCAACACCAAUCAGUGCCCAACAGCAGAAGCUAACUGUGGACCAAGUUACAAGACACAUGCUAUUGCUAGAACCUGCCUAUAACUCAAGCUCAAGAAACAAGUGCCAUAGCUUGCAACUGUACUGUAACUACUUUUAUUAUGGAACAAAGCAGUACAUUCUUUUCAGAAAGUCAAGAGGUAACAACCAAAGGUAAACUAUCAAUUCAUCUGUACUGUACUCCUUGAAUAUUGCUGGGCCUCCGGGCUUAACUCAAACCUUCUGUUUUGACUUGGGGAAAAAAAAAAUCUUACUGAGCAAAUAAAAUUGGGUACAUCUGUCUCAAUAAAAUCCAUGUUAACCAUA